rnacentral:rRNA from 1 species
AUUGAACGCUGGCGGCAUGCUUUACACAUGCAAGUCGGACGGCAGCACAGAGAAGCUUGCUUCUUGGGUGGCGAGUGGCGAACGGGUGAGUAAUAUAUCGGAACGUACCGAGUAAUGGGGGAUAACUAAUCGAAAGAUUAGCUAAUACCGCAUAUUCUCUGAGGAGGAAAGCAGGGGACCUUUGGGCCUUGCGUUAUUCGAGCGGCCGAUAUCUGAUUAGCUAGUUGGUGGGGUAAAGGCCUACCAAGGCGACGAUCAGUAGCGGGUCUGAGAGGAUGAUCCGCCACACUGGGACUGAGACACGGCCCAGACUCCUACGGGAGGCAGCAGUGGGGAAUUUUGGACAAUGGGCGCAAGCCUGAUCCAGCCAUGCGGCGUGUCUGAAGAAGGCCUUCGGGUUGUAAAGGACGUUU